CAUGGUACUACCUCUCUGUGGAACACAAGGCACUUCUUGUAGACAGCUCCUUGCAUAGGAUCUCAUAUGGAUCAAGACUGAGCUCCCAUUAGGUCAUUACUCCAGGAUAUUCCAGGUAAAGUUUUCUUUGGAAGAUAAUGGUGCUUUCUAUCAAUGACCCCCCGAGAAUGGAUGAGGACAGAGACCUCAUGGCUGCGAGGAUAUUAGACCUCACCCUAGAGAUCAUCUACCUGAUAACUGGAGAGGAUUACACAGUAGUGAAGAGGUCGUCUGGUGAGUGUGUGACACCCCAUGUAUCAGGAGGAUGGAGCAGGACCCCAGGAGCCAUCACUGAGCCUCCACCUUAUUCACUGAUACAUGAGCAGAAGAUCCUAGAACUUACCACCAGGAUCACUGAGCUGCUGACCGGAGAGGUUCCUAUAAGGUGUCAGGAUGUCACUGUCUAUUUCUCCAUGGAGGAGUG